rnacentral:rRNA from 1 species
CCUUUGUACACACCGCCCGUCGCUACUACCGAUUGAAUGGCUUAGUGAGGCGCUCGGACUGGCCCCGGGAGGUUGGCAACGACCACCCAGGGCCGGAAAGUCCGUCAAACUUGGUCAUUUAGAGG